rnacentral:rRNA from 1 species
UACGUAGGGUGCGAGCGUUGUCCGGAAUUAUUGGGCGUAAAGGGCUCGUAGGCGGUUUGUCGCGUCGGGAGUGAAAACCCAGGGCUUAACUCUGGGCUUGCUUUCGAUACGGGCAGACUAGAGGUAUGCAGGGGAGAACGGAAUUCCUGGUGUAGCGGUGAAAUGCGCAGAUAUCAGGAGGAACACCGGUGGCGAAGGCGGUUCUCUGGGCAUUACCUGACGCUGAGGAGCGAAAGCGUGGGGAGCGAACAGG